rnacentral:lncRNA from 1 species
GCCCAGCCGCUUCAUAAACCACAAAUCAAACUAACCUCCUAAUCCAAAGUGUUCCUGUUUAUUAAGAACUCAGUGCUUAUUUCUUCUCAGGAAUAUACCCCCAGUCAGUCUCCUUAGAGGGGCAGGGCUUGGGCUUGUCUGACUGCAAUGAAGGCUAGUGACCUGGUGAGACCUGAGAGCUCUUGAGCAGCCCAGGCUCCUCUCUUGCCAUGUAUCUCAACUCCCAAUCUUCUAGCUUUCACUCCUGGGUCUGAGCCACCUCCAUUCUCCAUGCUCCUGUUCUUCCAGCCAUUCUUGGGCCCCUAGGACCUACUGCUGUCUACAUGGUUUAUCAUGGAGUGCCUGUGUGACCCCUAGUUGCACUAGUGAUCUCAGGCUGGGGUGUAGCUUAGGGGCAGCACAAGGACUCUUAACACAAGGAGGCAGGUGUGCACCUAUAUGAGUAGGGUAGCAUGUCCCUCUCCAGUGAGCAGAGCACAGCAGGGCUGUUACAAAGGCGUCUUGUUUAUUCUUAUCAGCAUCACUGACUCUCAGGGUUCACAUUUCCCAACACCGCUCCUCUCCAUACAGUAGUUAAUGUGCAAUCUCACUUGUGGGCCUGGGAAGGGUGGGGGCUCGGCUCUGGGUGGGGAGGGCAUUGGCACUUCACAUGGGCCAGUGGGUGAUGGCCUGUCCCCAUGAGAGGCAUGGAUGGGUGGGAGGGUAGCCACUGGGUUUGCCCCUACUUGUCUUUCCUGCUAAGUGGGUUACUUUUUUACUCUCCUGGGUGCUUGGAACCAAUGGGCUCUGCUGCCCACUCUACAAGCCCUCUCCGCCCCACAGAACUGCCCCCUUACUAAACCUGGGCAGGGAGCACAGCCUGCGCUCAUCCCGGCCAGGCUCAGCUGCUCGCCAAGUUAUCAGGAGAUUGUGCUUUGGGAUCUUUGCUGGGGGAGGUGGGUAACAGGCCAGGGCGAGGGCGGAGGGAGGGGGUAUGACUAAGGUGCUUGUGCUUUAGCUAGGGAUGUCUACUCCCCUCCACUUGGCCACCCAGGGCUAAGGUACUGGGGGCCAAGUCAGACCCAACACCCCACCCUCACACCAUCAGAUGUUAAGAGGGAUCAUGGCAGAUUAGAGGGUGCUGCUGGCCUGGAGACAGGUCUCCAGAUCUGACUCAAAAGGCUCCAUCCCACCUUCUCCAAUCCUGCAAACCCCUGCCUCUGAAAAGGCAGCUAGAAUGCAGAGUUGGGGAGGGGGGGGAGGUCAGGGCUAGAACAGAACCAGUGAGAUGUGAAAGGACGUUAAUGGAGGGGAGUAACAGAAACCCUGUGCUCACAUGUCAAACUCAAGACACCCAAAAGACUGCUCCUGGAGAGCUAGAGUGGAAAGGAGUGCGGCCAGAGAUAAGCUCCGCAAACCAGUAACAAUGGAUGCGGACCCUGCCCUGCCUCAUCCCCCAGGAGUGGGCUCAGCUAACUGGGACCUGUGAACACCCUAAAACUUUAGUCCCGGGGGAGAGGAAGCUGGUUGGAUCCACAGGAGUCCUGGGGCACUGGGACUGGGCCCCUGUGGAAACAUGCACCCACAGUCCACACACACACACAUUCAGUCUUCCCUGCAUCCUGCCUUCCACAGCCCAGGGACCCAGGGAACCUCAGACACAUUCCCAUUGAUUUGAAAAAUAAAAGGAAAUCUUAUACUUCAAUAUUUCAUUCGCUAAAAAAAUGUUUCAAAAAGUUAUGUACAGGGGGUGGGGGCUGGGAGCCCUGCCCAGGGUCGGAUGGGAGAAGGGCAGCAGUCUCCCAGCCUGCUCCCUGGUUCCGACCCUGGUCUUGCUGCCUCUUGAUCUUCAUGUUUUUAAAAGCAAACACUCUACGCAGGCACGCACGCACACACGCACGCACGCACACCCACAAAUUCUGCCAGACUGGAAACCUGUCCUGAGACCCUCACCUGCCCAUAGGAGCACUGCUCUCUUGGAAUGACCUCUUGGGCUGAGGGGGCCCACAGAGGCAGAGCAGGGUGGGACUAAAAGGGGCGUGAUGGAGGCUGUCACAGAGGGUCAGUUCUAGAGUUUCUCUAAGCCUUUUGGGCUUGUUUCCUCAGUUUGUAAAGUAGACAGUCCCUCUUGGCCCCACCUACCCCAGCCCCAAGGUGCAGGGACAGACGAGAGGGACAGGAAGGCGCUUUUGGAGACAUGGAAGCACUGGGGGAUGGUGGGAGGGGUCCAGAAGACCCCUGGGCCCGUGGAGUCCCAAGCAGCCACAGUGAGGGGCAGGCUCUUGUUGAGUCCUGCCCGUCCCCUAGCCGGGCCUGGUGCUGGGAAAUGCCUAAGAGGAAGGGGAACCAGGGCUCCCCGUGAGUGUUGAGGAAGGUCACAGAUCCCACCUGAUGCCUGUCCUCUCUUGACCCAGCCCAGCUUGCUUUGGGGAAAAGGUGUGGGAUGACAGGGAGGCAGAGGGGCUGGGAGCAUGCAGCACCCCUGCAGGUUCUGGGGAGGGACAGACAGUAGCUCGUGACUAAGGUGGUGGGGGUAUGUAUGUGACAGGAGGGGAGUGUGACAUCCAUGGAAGGGUCCUGGGCAGGUAUUGGAGGACCUUCGCUGAGGGGGCUGUCUGUGUGAAAGCUGUAUUCUAUGCCUAUCAAGUUCUGCUCUUCCUCAUGGUCACUGAGAAAGCUGUUGUAGGCACUGCCCUCUCCUAGGUACAGUGGUUUGGCCUUGUCAGCCAGCUCUUGCAUCCGGAUAGAGGGCAUGGAGCAGCCCCUCACAGGUCCUGGGGAGGGACAGACAGUAGAUCGUGACCAGGUAGGUGAUAGGUGAGGGUGUGAUAGGAGGGGAGUGUGACAUCCAGUAAGGGGGUGUCACAUGUAUGUUACUGGAGAACCUCAGCUGAAGGGCCAGCCUCGCCAUCGUGGCUGGCUGUCUCGAAGCUGUGUUCCAUGCUCAUCAUGUCCGGUUCUAUCUUGCAAGUGUCGCUGAUGAAGCUGCUGUAGUUAUCACCCUCCACCAGGUGCAGCGGCUUAGUCUUGGGCAGCCAGCUUUUACGUACCACUCGGCGGGCAUUGGUGCACAUGUCAGCUGCAAUGGCAUUCAUCUCGCUCUCCUUGAAGUUGGGGGCGAAGUUCUGGCAGUAGUC